CCUACGGGAGGCUGCAGUGGGGAAUAUUGCACAAUGGGCGCAAGCCUGAUGCAGCCAUGCCGCGUGUGUGAAGAAGGCCUUCGGGUUGUAAAGCACUUUCAGCGGGGAGGAAGGCGGUGAGGUUAAUAACCUCAUCGAUUGACGUUACCCGCAGAAGAAGCACCGGCUAACUCCGUGCCAGCAGCCGCGGUAAUACGGAGGGUGCAAGCGUUAACCGGAAUUACUGGGCGUAAAGCGCACGCAGGCGGUCUGUCAAGUCGGAUGUGAAAUCCCCGGGCUCAACCUGGGAACUGCAUUCGAAACUGGCAGGCUAGAGUCUUGUAGAGGGGGGUAGAAUUCCAGGUGUAGCGGUGAAAUGCGUAUAGAUCUGGAGGAAUACCGGUGGCGAAGGCGGCCCCCUGGACAAAGACUGACGCUCAGGUGCGAAAGCGUGGGGAGCAAACAGGAUUAGAUACCCGGGUAGUC
rnacentral:rRNA from 1 species